rnacentral:lncRNA from 1 species
GAUCUUUUUAUAGUUUUAUUUUUAUUAUUUUUCCCCUGUAUUAGUACUGCUUUAAAGUACAGUAAUUCAGUGAGAUCGUUUUGGUUCAGUUUCAUAGACAGUUCUAUUUUCAUGACUUGUAUUUGCUGACAAGGAAGAAUAAAGAAUACUGGCAGUAAGUUUUGGGAAAGGCAUGUGCAUCAGUGAAAUGUUACUUGUAUAACAAAUAACCUUUCAUAAUCUGCAUAACCAGUAGUUUCUGAUUUAUAAUAUUUUAAUAACUGACUGCAUUUAUUUUUGCCAGUUUAAAAUGUUUUGUGUUCUUAGGAUUGAUGUUUAGUGCAUAUUUUGAGUUAAAUGACUAUCUUAAAGCAGCACCAUAUCAGUUGUUUUUAUUCAUUUUCUAAAAUGUGCUGAUCCUAUUAAAAACUCCUGCUUAUCUUUUACAACAAAGAAAAAUAUUCAAAAAUACUGCCUUCAUUUUCACACACAGUGCUGAAGAUGCUGCAAGCACCAAAUCAUAGCUCAUAAAAUCAGGUCCUGAGAUAGUUACCCAUAAAGAGGAAUCCUUUGAGUGUAUGCCAUUGGUGAGCCGAUGAGCAUGGACCAUAGAAGGGCUCAAUGUAGAAGGUAAAAUUGGCAAAUCAUAAUUGAGAAAUAUGACUGUGUUCCCAUACAUAAUAUGGUAUAGGGUGUAAUGUACCUGCUCUUGAUCACUUUCAUUUUAAAGUGCUAUUCACUUAAAUGUUCCAUGAAUUGUUUAUUGCACCACAGUUUGUGUGUGUGUGUGUGUGUGAGAGAGAGAGAGAGAGAGAGAGAAAUAGGUCAGAUCAGUAUGUUGCAAGCAGAUCUUUAGAGCCUGUCAAGUUUUGGUUAGUUGUAGUUUCCAUUUGGAAAUGUAGAUGAAUGCUUGUAGAUAUUGGAGAUUGUUUCUAUCUUGUAAGAACUUUUCACUGGUGCUGUAAGCAUUUCAAAUAGCACCAGUCUUAACCUUUAAAUGGGAAGUAGAAAAGGUGAGCCCAAAGUUUACAGAUGAUUUUAAUGCUAUACAUGUUAGUGUAGUGAUACUUAGAAUGCUUUGUUUGAUGUUUAUUUCAGAAAUGCGUAUACUAGAAAAUCAUUUUAAUAUUAAAACUGGUGACUUAAUACUAGUUGUAAAGUGUUUUCUUAAAGAAGGAUCUUGGUACUUAAUUGAUAAAGUGGGUUUAGAUAGGAGUAGCAAGUGCUCUCGAUAGAGAAAGUUUUUGUUCACUUCAAUACUUUGUCAUUACAACCAGUUCUUCCUGAAAAUAGUUACAUGUCUAGUAAAUUGAUGUAGAAUUAACUCGCUGGAGAUAAUCUCAUUUUAGUUCUGCAAAUUCUGCCUGGCUUUAAAAUGCAUUUUCAUAAUACUUAGAAAUAAUUUGACUGAAAAUAACUGCUUUUUUAUUUAAUCAGUCAAUCAACUUUUACUACAAAUUUAAUUGAGGGAUUUUUUAAUUUAAUUGGUGCUUUAAAGAAGCAAAUAAAUCCCUGGGUUUUGUUUUCUUCAGUAAAUAUCCUAAAGAAACUCUUUAAUGUAUUUGCGAGUAUAUAUAUAUUUUCUUAUGCAUGCUCGAUGCAUUUUCGUCCUGAGAAAAGUGUUCUCUACAGAAACUACCCGUGUGUUAAAAGAAGAUUGGCUUAAAAUGGCUACUGUGAUGGGAACAGUGUCUUAGGGAGAUGCAGCUUGGACUUGAGGUAAAUUGAAUACUUUACAAACUGGCUUAGAGUUUUGCUUUAAUGUCAUUAUAUGUAAAAGGGCACAUGAUUAUUGUAAUUUUGUAUUCUUUAUGGUUUCCUUAAUUAAAAUAAUAAAUGUACAGUGAUUAC